UUUUAGCUCAGCUGGUAGAGCAUGAGACUCUUAAUCUCAGGGUUAUGGAUUCGAGACUCACACUGGGCAAAA